GCCGGCCUGCAAAGUUGGUGCGGGCGGUACCCAUCAUUUGAACCAACAUUCAAAUGAAAGGGAGCCUGACUCGAUAUGGCCUGGUGUGCAACGCUCCGCCACGCGGAGAUGCCUGAAGGGCCUCGGAGGGUUCCCCCUUGUCUCAGGACAAGGUUCAAUGGUGGCCUGCCUCACGGCCCCGCGGGUCGGCU
rnacentral:other from 1 species